GACCUCGUGGCGCAACGGUAGCGCGUCUGACUCCAGAUCAGAAGUUUGCGUGUCAAAUCAUGUCCUGGUCA
rfam:Salmo salar isolate Sally breed double haploid chromosome ssa26, whole genome shotgun sequence.